ensembl:lncRNA
CAGAUUUUUACCAAUCAUGUGUGUCUGCCAUUCUCGCUUCUGAAAAUGAAGUUGAUUGCAUUUUGAAGCCUGGGGAAGCUUGGUGUCUCAAGGAACAAAUAGUAAAAGGAUGUUGUCAUCAGUGGCAAUUAAUAUCUGCCCUCAUCCAAGGCAUUGAACAUCUCUAUCAAGAUUGGUGAAUAUGAAUUACAGAUAGGAAUCCCAGCGCAGCUGUUAAACCUAUAUUUCCAAAAUAAUAUAAGUACAAAUAUUUAUUAAAACAAAUAUUUAAUGUUACUAACAGGAAAGUAUGUUGGAUCAAGGUUGAUGGUGGCAUUCAGGGAGCCAGGCAACAAUCUGAGAUUAUUUCUCUUACAGAAUGUAAAGUCAUUGUUUUCACCAGCUCCUGCUGCUCUGAUUCUCUACAGUACCUCAUUCUCUGAGUGCAUCUCAGCAUCUUCUGAUUUACCUUGGAGACAAGCUUACAAGUCAUGGAUGGGAUCUUUUCUUUUUUGUAAGGAAACGUCCUCCAUUCUAUACGUAACACUGUGGUUUCAGAUGAUGAGUACAAGAGGCAAUCACUUCCCUUGCCCUGCUGGUCAAGAAUUAGAAAUCAAUGGCAUAGCAGGUGGCAGACAAUCCAGGAGAUUCCUUGAGUUGAGGACAACUUCCUUGUCCAGAAUGCCUAGGCAUAGAGGAAGAGGCUCAUCCACACAAGACUCACGGACUUAAAGAGGAGCCAAAAACCCUCAUCAGAAGAGUUAGUUCCCUCUAGCCAUGUUUGCAGUGGUGGGACUCCAGCUCAGAGAGGAUUGUACUGCCUAGCUGCUCCUGGAGGUCUGUGGAAAAGGGACAUGGCCACCACUUCCCAGGAGCUUGGCUGAGGCUGCCACCAUACUCAGAUUAAGCCUUCCACGGCCUUUGGUCAACCAAUGGGAGUCUCAGAAGGCAUGAAAAGUAUUGACCAGUUUUCUAACCUAACAACUUCUCCAGUCCUAGAAGAAAAUGCUCCAGUCCUAGUUCUGGACUCCAGGGAAACUAGGAAAUGAAGUUGUGGCUUGGAGUCAGUCAUUAUUUAUGGCAUUUGGCACGUAAAACCCUGAUGAACCAGAAGCAAAAUGAAAGAAAGGAGAACUGUAAACAAGGUCUUUCAGUGCUAAUUUUAACUCCAGGAUGACAAAUAGAGGUAUAGCAAUACAACAACUACAGCAACUUCAAUCAUUUUCCUAUAUUUAGUACCUCAAAAUUCAAGUUGACAGGUAUGCCUCACCUAAAUUCUGACGCGUGUCAUCUCCUGAUUUAUGAGUGCUUGGUUUUGCAGAACAAAUAAAAUUCUCCCCGUUACUUAAUGGUGCUGAAGAUAUUUCUUCUCUUACCUUUCGUUAUCUUCUUUUUCUGUUGCUACUCAUAUCUGUCACCAGUCAUGUCUUUAAAUCCUUCCAUAGAUAACCUGUUCUAUGACUUUCUCAAGCUUCUAUUUUAUGUCACAGUGUUUUUUCCCUUUGCUUUCUAUAUCAUUGGUGUACAAUCUUCAGAGUAUCAAGCAACUUACAGAGUGGCUUGAAAAGCUGAAUCACAUUGAACUCAAUGUCUGAGAGUCAGUAUUCUUUGCAACUGCUAAUAGCUUUGAGCAAGCCAGUUUAUUUUUCAGUGUUUCACUUUCUUCCCCUGAUUUCUAGUAAUGCAGAUAGAGUUCUCUUUUCUGAGUAAAAUGUAAUCUGGUAGAUAGCAAAUUGGGUUGGUAGCAGGAAAAGGGGAGAGCUUUCAUCAUAAGAAUAAAAUGGACCUAAAGGUUUUAUAAAUUAAAGGCCAAUUAUUCCCAGGAGUGCAUGGGGAGCCUUCCACAGCAAUCACUCUUGAGAAUCUGAAGGCAGAACAGGGCCUCGACCAUCUGUAUUUGGACUUUGUCAGGCCAUUUGUUUGUAACCGGAAUUGUAUUGUUGCUCUGGUUUUCAGUAAAGGGAUGUUCACUGAGGCAUCACAUUGAUAUUUUUGAAGUACGUUCCAUGUUUUCAAAGAAACAAAUUUAUCAGCAAUGAAUUGAAAUGUCUAGCUGUUUCCGUAUGCUGUAGAGAUUUCACAUCAUGCUGCUGUGCAUGUGCAUUCAUUUUUCACCUGCUGGAUGUAAUGGGAACAAGUUCAAUACAUGAAUGAAAGCAUGUUAACAAGGAAGUGAUUUGGCCAAACCAUGCUUCUUCCUCCUAACAGAUAAAAAAAGCCCUGAAAAAACAAAGGCUGAAGGCACAAGCUUGUUUUCAUUAAUCAUAAAUCAGAGACGAUCCCCAAAUAGUAUAGUAGGAGGCAAUGUUGACAGUAGACCUGUGGGAUUUUAACAAACUCGGCUCCUGUUCUUUGUUUUACCUAUAUCUAGGUUAACUACUGUCUGAAAGAGCUUUGUGGGAAAAUCUCAUCUUAUUAUCUUAAAUAAAAAGAGCUGACUAUUUGUGGAAAAACUCAUCAGGCUUUCAUUUUCAAGUCCUGUACAAGGCUGACCCUUUGUCUGAAGUAUUAAAAAUCCCACAGUGGAUGUAUAAAUUAUGGCCUAUAGUAAGGACUUUGGGACAUUCCACUGAGUAUGUUCACAAAAUUUGAGUAAGGCUGUUGUUCCAGAUGAUGCAUGUGGCUCACAAUCCUGAGAGCUGAAAAGCUCCCUGCAAGACCAAGAGGCCAACCAGACUGAUUCUUUGGACUUUGAACCUCCAAUGUUACCUGCUAAUAUGGCACAUAGAGCCAUGACUGAAAGUGCCUGGGUACUAUGAGGAACACCUAUACUUCUGGGACCAACAGACCUCAGUCUGCAUCAUGGUUGACAGGAUUGCAAUAUCUGGUAUAUUUUCUGCAGUAUUUCUCAGCAAAAAGAGCAAGGCUAGAGAUGAAAAUUCGAAAAACCUCUUAAUGGAGUAUUUUAAAGUCUAGGAUCACAGCUUUUGAGGUCCCUAGUACCAAUGAAACAACCAACUAGAUACUGUGGGUCAGAAGGAGAAAAGAGGAAGAGAGGGAAAGGAAACUACAUUGAAGGAAGGUGAUUCUGUUUGGAAAAAAUGUCUCAUACAGUUUGGCAACUCUUACCAUGCUGUUGCCAACUUGCAAGUUCAUAUGAGGUUUACAGCAAGUUACAGGAAGAAUAAAAUGUUAAUCAUGUGCAGAACCUUAGUUGUAUUCUCGCCAUCUAUUUCAACAACAGUAAUAGCAUACAGACUAAGAAGUGAUUACAGAAUGACAUAAGCUUCUUUUCCAUUUGAAUUUGAAAAUGUAUUUCCAUUUAAAGCUUAAUUUUUAUGUGCUUCAUCCAAAAUUAAGAAAACAAGAGGAUGUGAUUUCCAAGCACUAUAUAUAGGCUGGAUCUGGUGUCAAGUUUUUCUAACAGUUAUUAGCGGUGUUAAAAGCAGUGACUUUUAACACAGUAUCUAAAAAAAACUUACCAGCAUUUUAUGGUGGCUUAAAAAAAAUACAAAGGACAACAAGUUGAAACAUGGGAAAGAUCAGUGACAAAGGUACUUAGUCAACAAAAGACUUAACUGCAUGUUGCAGAUUGUAUCUUCUUACAAAAGCCUUUCAUUAAUGAACUAUGUGUUAGAAAGUCUGUUCAGCUGAUUAAACUUUUCUAUAUCUGAAAUUGUUUAUGAGUUAUAAUUACCUCCUUCAAAACCUUCUUUCUUCUUGUAACUGGCUACAGACUUGAUGAAAAGUAUUCAGUCUUUUCCUUUCACACAAUACAAAUGGUGUGCUAAUUUUUGCCCAUGGAAAAACUAUGCUUUCAAAUACAACAAACAUCUUUAUUAUCACCUUAGUAUGCACUGGAGUCAUCCUGAUGUAUUGUAAACACAUUGGGCCCAGGAGUUCAUACAUAUGUAGCAAGUUUAUUUAUGGAAAUUCUUCAGAAGCUUGCUUGGGAUGAGUGGUCCUACUUAUUAGAAAUGACUUCUCCAACUCCUGUCUACAAAUUAAUGAUGUGCUUUGGAGAAAACAAAUUUAUUUCAGAGAAAGUCUGUGGUUGCUUUUCUUUACUUCUUGCCAUUUUUUCUUUGUUUGAUGUAUCAGAUUUCU